rnacentral:rRNA from 1 species
UCAUAUCAAUAAGCGGAGGAAAAGAAACCAACAGGGAUUGCCUCAGUAACGGCGAGUGAAGCGGCAACAGCUCAAAUUUGAAAUCUGGCCCUAGGCCCGAGUUGUAAUUUGCAGAGGAUGUUUCUGGCGAGGUGCCUUCCGAGUGCCCUGGAACGGGACGCCAUAGAGGGUGAGAGCCCCGUACGGUUGGUCGCUAAGCCUCUGUGAAACUCCUUCGACGAGUCGAGUAGUUUGGGAAUGCUGCUCUAAAUGGGAGGUAUACGUCUUCUAAAGCUAAAUACCGGCCAGAGACCGAUAGCGCACAAGUAGAGUGAUCGAAAGAUGAAAAGCACUUUGAAAAGAGGGUUAAAUAGUACGUGAAAUUGUUGAAAGGGAAGCGCUCAUGACCAGACUUGGGCCGGUUGAUCAUCCGCCGUUCUCGGCGGUGCACUCUGCCGGCUCAGGCCAGCAUCAGUUUGGUCCGGGGGAUAAAGGUGUAGGGAAUGUGGCUCCCCCCGGGGAGUGUUAUAGCCCUGCGCGUAAUACCCUGGACUGGACUGAGGUUCGCGCAUCUGCAAGGAUGCUGGCGUAAUGGUUAUCAGUGACCCGUCUUGAAACACGGACCAAGGAGUCGUCUUCGUAUGCGAGUGUUCGGGUGUCAAACCCCUACGCGUAAUGAAAGUGAACGUAGGAGAGAGCUUCGGCGCAUCUCCGACCGAUCCUGAUGUUCUCGGAUGGAUUUGAGUAAGAGCAUACGGGGCCGGACCCGAAAGAAGGUGAACUAUGCCUGUAUAGGGUGAAGCCAGAGGAAACUCUGGUGGAGGCUCGCAGCGGUUCUGACGUGCAAAUCGAUCGUCAAAUAUGGGCAUGGGGGCGAAAGACUAAUCGAACCUUCUAGUAGCUGGUUUCCGCCGAAGUUUCCCUC